ACGAACGCUGGCGGCGUGCCUGACACAUGCAAGUCGAACGGAGAUACAGGGGCUUGCCCUUGUAUCUUAGUGGCGGACGGGCGAGUAACGCGUGAGGAACCUGCCCUUCAGUGGGGAAUAACGGCUGGAAACGGUCGCUAAUACCGCAUGACACAUUGGUACCGCAUGAUACUGAUGUCAAAGGAGCAAUCCGCUGAAGGAUGGCCUUGCGUCCGAUUAGCUAGUUGGUGGGGUAACGGCCUACCAAGGCGACGAUCGGUAGCCGAACUGAGAGGUUGAUCGGCCGCAUUGGGACUGAGACACGGCCCAGACUCCUACGGGAGGCAGCAGUGGGGGAUAUUGGUCAAUGGGGGAAACCCUGAACCAGCAACGCCGCGUGAGGGAAGACGGCCUUCGGGUUGUAAACCUAAGUGAUCAGGGACGAAGGAAGUGACGGUACCUGAAAAGCAAGCUCCGGCUAACUACGUGCCAGCAGCCGCGGUAAUACGUAGGGAGCGAGCGUUGUCCGGAUUUACUGGGUGUAAAGGGUGCGUAGGCGGGAAAGCAAGUCAGGUGUGAAAUACCGGGGCUCAACUCCGGGGCUGCGCUUGAAACUGUUUUUCUUGAGUGAAGUAGAGGCAGGCGGAAUUCCUAGUGUAGCGGUGGAAUGCGUAGAUAUUAGGAGGAACACCAGUGGCGAAGGC
rnacentral:rRNA from 1 species